AGAUGAGAUGAUGAAUGAGAUUAAUUUCCCUAUUGGUUUGAUUGGCCGAUAUGAUGGCCUCAAAUACUGAACCGAAUCUGAUCAUCC
rfam:Triticum aestivum genome assembly, contig: Triticum_aestivum_CS42_TGACv1_scaffold_393892_5AS